UUAUUUAAUAAAGGAGAUAUACUACAGCAAUGUUUUCAUGCUAGAUGGCAGCACCAGCACAGGCAGAAAAAAAAAUUUGUUCGACGUUUGACAACGUUUUUGUCAAUAUUCUGGUGUCACGUGUGCAACAUGUCGGAUUUUGGUCGGAGUGUUUACUGU